AUGGAGGUUGCAGUUGCCGAAUUACCAGUGCUGCCACAAGAUGUCCUGAUGUCCAUAUUUGCACACCUGGAGAUCCCUGACCUGAUGCGUGCCAGCUCCGUCUGCUCCUCGUGGCGCUCCGCGUAUUCCAGCCUGCGCAACCUUGAGCAGUACCAGCAGCGCCAGACGCCGUGCCUCUUAUACACAUCUGAAUCUGCUGGUGAAAGCAUUGCGUGCCUCUACAGCCUCUUGGAGAAGAGGUCAUACAAGUUGACUCUCCCGGAGCCACCUAUUCGCAGCAGGUAUCUGAUUGGGUCAUCAAAUGGCUGGCUGGUUACUGCUGAUGAGAGAUCCGAGAUGCAUAUUCUCAAUCCCAUCACAUGUGAACAGAUUGCUAUCCCGUCGGUGAUCACCAUCGCACAUGUGACUCCUGUUUUUGAUGAAAGAGGUGCCUUAUGUAAGUACAUUUCCUCUCGUGACACAGCGGAGCACCGUAGUACCACCGGCCCUCAACCCGUUGAUCUUGGCGAGCUGCAACACUACCUCCAGAAAAAGGCAUUUGUAUUUUAUGAUGCAUCUGCAGGAGGCUAUAUCAUGGUGCUUAUUCACAAUCCAGAUGGGCAGCUCUCAUUUGCUUGGUUAGGAGAUGACAAGUGGACCUGGCUGAAACCACAUUGUUUUUUUCAAGACUGCUUGUACAAAGACAGUAAGUUAUAUGCAGUGACAUUGCUAGGAGAAAUUCACGUCUUCGAUCUCAGAGGCCCUGUGGUCGCAGCAAAGGUAAUUACAGGCUGUGCAGAUAAUUACAGUUGUCGAACAAUUUACAUUGUUCAGGCUCCAUGUGGGGAUCUGAUGCAAGUUUUUAGAUCCCAAGAUGUGGUUCAUUAUGAUCCACGUGCUGACAAUGCAACACAUGUGCACUAUACUGAUGGGAUAAAAAUAUUUAAAGUUGAGAUUGUGGCUGAAAAGGUUAUGGAAAUAAAUAGCUUGAUGGAUCAUGUGUUGCUGGUUGGGCUGAACCAAUCACUUUGUCUCAGUGCUGAAGAAUACCCACAGUUGAAGGCCAACACCGUCUACGUUGCUGACGACCACGAGUAUCUAAACUAUUACAAGAAUAACCGCCGUGACAUUGCAGCUUUUGACUUGACACAUAACAGUAGUGAGGAACUUGACUCCCCUCAGCUUUGGUCCAACUGGCCUACUCCCAUAUGGAUAACCCCCAGUCUUACAAAAUGGCAUCCAACAUUGGACAGACAAUGA
rnacentral:rRNA from 1 species